GAAGAAACACGAAAGGUGUAUAGACGGCAGGGGGUUGAGAAUCGCAAUUGGUGGACGAAUGCCUUUGUCAUUAACGCUCGGACAAUGUUUUUCUCCGGUUGCUGGUUGCUCCGACUGGUAUAAUGUAACUGGAUAUAUCGUGGCUGAAGGAGACGAAUUGGAAGGGCGGACGAGGGCGGGCAUCAAGGCCGCGAGAAGAAACGGAACAACAAUGGCGGCGAGGGCAGAGAGCCACAUUCGUUAAGCCGAUUUCCCAGGACACCCUAUGGAAACUGUCUGCAUUAUCGAUAGAGCUUACCGCUGGGCCAGAUGAUCGAACGGCUCGAUGCCAAAGGCUACGUGCAAGUUACGAAAACAAACGUAAAUGUUACUCAUCGUGAGGCCGCUGAGUGUCCUUUUAACCCUUCGCACCGGAGAGGCGACUCUCACUUGCCACUCGGUUUCAUGCAGAAAUUCAGAACGAGGCGACUCCGAGGCAAAAUUAGCAGAUAUGUAUGUCGCAACGCAGCAGAUGGAUUGUUUGCCACUUGGAAUCUUAGUCAAGGCCCUGUUGCCGGCUGAUAUUUCCCAGGAUUGCAGAUCUAUCACACUUUUCUGCCACAAUGACAGAACGAAACGGCUGAAAGAGACAAAAGGAGAAGAAAAUAGGCGCGUGCAAGAUUAAACGCUUCUGAAGAAUGCGUGCGAGGAGGUAAGUGAGGAGGUGCAGCCAAGAGUUUGAGAGAGCGAAGAAAGAGUUUCUUCUUUUCGCUCUCGAGAAUUAACGGCCGAGAGCUUUGAACGAGAACGAAGACAAAGUUAGGUGUGUAUAUUGUUGUAAAAAAUGUAUUCAUGUUGGUAAAGCCAGUCACCGUCGUCGUUAUAUUUCAUUAACAAAAUAUAUAUUCGCGCAUUUGUGUAUU